rnacentral:rRNA from 1 species
AUUGAACGCUGGCGGCAGGCCUAACACAUGCAAGUCGAACGGUAACAGGAAGCAGCUUGCUGCUUUGCUGACGAGUGGCGGACGGGUGAGUAAUGUCUGGGAAACUGCCUGAUGGAGGGGGAUAACUACUGGAAACGGUAGCUAAUACCGCAUAACGUCUCAAGACCAAAGAGGGGGACCUUCGGGCCUCUUGCCAUCGGAUGUGCCCAGAUGGGAUUAGCUAGUAGGUGGGGUAACGGCUCACCUAGGCGACGAUCCCUAGCUGGUCUGAGAGGAUGACCAGACACACUGGAACUGAGACACGGUCCAGACUCCUACGGGAGGCAGCAGUGGGGAAUAUUGCACAAUGGGCGCAAGCCUGAUGCAGCCAUGCCGCGUGUAUGAAGAAGGCCUUCGGGUUGUAAAGUACUUUCAGCGGGGAGGAAGGGAGUAAAGUUAAUACCUUUGCUCAUUGACGUUACCCGCAGAAGAAGCACCGGCUAACUCCGUG